CAUAGCUCAGUGGUAAAAGCAUCUACCUUGGAAGCAGAAGGUCCUGGGUUCAAUAUCAUCACCUCCCAAAGGAUAUUGU